UUAAAGAGGAGAGACCUAAAAGAUCAGACCUAAUCCCUCUCUCUCUAAAACUACAAACGACCCUUCUGGGGAUUCCUUCUUUUUCUCCAUUUUCACCAUCACCAAGAACAGACCCUCCCCUUUGAAAAAACGAACGACCCUCCCCCAAAUCUCUAAAAACCUUAGCACCACAAUACCUCCCUUUCUUCUUCUUCUUCACUCUUAUUUUCUGACCUUCUAUAAUCUUCAAGGAGAAGCAAGCAAAAACAAGAACGACUCUCUCAUUCUCUCAUCUUCGGCGUUCUAAUUUCCCCUUUUCUAAUUGAGAAUCGGACUUCCCUUUAUAUCCAACCCUAAUCCGCCUCCUUUUCUUUUCUCUCAUCUUUCUCUCACACAUGCUCCCUCAUAGUCUAAAAAAUUUGUUCCAUCUCACUCACUGGAGGCUAAACAAAACGAAGUUUCAGAAAUAAAAAUAAAAUAAAAUAAGAGAGAUUUGGAGAAUAAAACGUUCUGAAAAGAAAAGGGAAAAUGAAAUUUGGAAAGAGUUUGGGAGAUGAAUUGAUUUGCUAAACAUUUGAAGUUUGGGAACUGAUGUUGUUUGUUGCCGAAGCUGUUUGUCUGCCGUCCUCUCUUCUAUGGCAUCUCGUUAAUUAGAUUUUGGAGUCGGUCCCAGCGGCGGUUAUUAGCAUGCUCGGAUUGGACAAUUUUGGAGACUUGAGAUGGAGAGAACAUGCACUAUAUCUUCAGCCGAGCAACAGAUAGAGCCCCCAGUGGCAGUUUCUACGAGGGGUAGAGGUCGAGGCCGAAGCCAUGCCUAUUGAUACCCAAUUUUCCCUCACAUAUUUUUAAUACCUAUAUAUACUUUUAAAAUAGUACAUAUGCAGUUAUAAUCAUGCAUAAACAUUUUUUAUAUUUUUUUAUAGUUUUAAAGGCUCCAAAUUAAUUUAUUUCUCAUUUUUUUA